UACGUAGGGGGCGAGCGUUGUCCGGAUUUACUGGGCGUAAAGGGCGUGCAGGCGGUCGGCCAAGUUUGGAGGGACAGCGUUCAGCUUAACUGAGCGAGGCCUCUGAAAACUGGUCGACUUGAGACUCAGAGAGGGACAUAGAAUUCCGGGUGGAGUGGUGAAAUGCGUAGAUAUCCGGAGGAAUACCAAAGGCGAAGGCAGUGUCCUGGCUGAGAUCUGACGCUCAGGCGCGAAAGCCAGGGGAG
rnacentral:rRNA from 1 species